rnacentral:rRNA from 1 species
UACGUAGGGGGCAAGCGUUGUCCGGAUUUAUUGGGCGUAAAGAGCGUGUAGGCGGCCAGGUAGGUCUGGUGUGAAAACUCGAGGCUCAACCUCGAGAGGUCAUCGGAAACCAUUUGGCUAGAGUCCGGAAGAGGAGAGUGGAAUUCCCGGUGUAGCGGUGAAAUGCGCAGAUAUCAGGAAGAACACCAAUGGCGAAGGCAGCUCUCUGGGACGGUACUGACGCUGAGACGCGAAAGCGUGGGGAGCGAACAGG